UUUGACCCAAACUUUCUUAGAUGAUAAAGUACUCCUAGUAAGCUUAGUAAGCAUCUCAGUCAAAUGACUAACCUGAUUAGACAGAAAGCUAACCUGACUAGGAAUGUUAUGAUUUCUACGCUCAUUGCCUAACUUAUAACAUCUAGGCCUAGUGUGUCCUAGAGCUCCACAGUGGUGACAGGUGGAAAUGAACCUAGGCUCAAAGGUACGUGUCUAUGGGUAUCUGGGAUUGAAGUUCCUACGUGAUUGAUGACUCUGUUCUCUCGGAACAUUCUUACCCUUUUUUUGAACUGCCGACAGCAUUAGCUUUCUUAGAGGCAGAAACAAACACAGUCUUAGAUGGUCUAGUAACAUGUGUGUUACCCUCAGCGUAUCCUAGACCUUUCCUAUCUCCUACA
rnacentral:lncRNA from 1 species